rnacentral:tRNA from 1 species
GCCUCCGUAGCUCAGCCGGUUGACUUUCUUGGGGAGAAAGCCGACAGAGCACGAGUUUCGUAAACUCGGGGUCGAGGGUUCGAUUCCCUCCGGGGGCU